rnacentral:tRNA from 1 species
GGGUCUGUGGUGAAAUGGUUUAUCAUACCGGUCUCCAGAACCGUUGUUGAGGGUUCAAUUCCCUCCAGACCCA